AACGAACGCUGGCGGCAUGCCUAACACAUGCAAGUCGAACGAGACCUUCGGGUCUAGUGGCGCACGGGUGCGUAACGCGUGGGAACCUGCCCUUAGGUUCGGAAUAACUCCCCGAAAGGGGUGCUAAUACCGGAUAAUGUCUUCGGACCAAAGAUUUAUCGCCUUUGGAUGGGCCCGCGUUGGAUUAGCUAGUUGGUAGGGUAAAAGCCUACCAAGGCGACGAUCCAUAGCUGGUCUGAGAGGAUGAUCAGCCACACUGGGACUGAGACACGGCCCAGACUCAUACGGGAGGCAGCAGUGGGGAAUAUUGGACAAUGGGCGAAAGCCUGAUCCAGCAAUGCCGCGUGAGUGAUGAAGGCCUUAGGGUUGUAAAGCUCUUUUACCCGGGAUGAUAAUGACAGUACCGGGAGAAUAAGCUCCGGCUAACUCCGUGC
rnacentral:rRNA from 1 species